UGCUCGCUGUUGGUUGUAACAUCAUGGGCGGUGGUGAGGCAUCAGCACCGGAGACGCAGGUCCGCGGCGGAGCGGGAUAGGUGACAAGGACGACCUGUGACUCCUCAUGGCAAAGGUCUUGCUCGCUGUUGGUUCUAACAUCAUCGUCUACCAGACAGAUGCUGGCCAGUUAAGGUUUGUUGCAAAUAAUAGUGGAUGUUGGGCUGCCUCCACACCGCAAGAGAUGGAGAUGGUUGACGUCGGAACCGGUGGUUGAGGUCGAGUACGCCUCGUUGUUGUCGCCGUCUACAUCCGUUACGUGUGAGGAACUUGCUGAUGCUGGCACCAGAUUCAGCAGGGAGGAUAUCUAUGAGGCCUUUCAUUCUUGUUGGAUUCCCACACAUCUUGCAAGUUCAAGGGGGUGAGCUCAGCUGAAUGCGCGGUGACGUAUUUUUUUUGUUUACUUUUGCAUAUUGCUGCUUUGAUUAAUAUUCCACCCAAAGAAUAAUGUUUUUAUAUCUCUAAUUUCUACUUUGGAGCAAUGGAUAGUUGUGCUUUAG